GUAGUGAUGGCUGCGGGGUUAAGGCGAUCGACUAGAAAUCGGUUGGGGUAUUCCCCCGCAGGUUCAAGUCCUGCUAACUAUA
rfam:Danio rerio unplaced genomic contig CTG2934, GRCz11 reference primary assembly.